rnacentral:lncRNA from 1 species
ACAGGCACGAAUGAUCCAAUCAGGCGAGGUUUGGACGAUGGUGACGUGGGUGACGCGUGCAGCAACAGCGGUGUGGCGAGCUUCAACGACGGCAAGGCUUGCAGUGUGCAGCGACAGCAACGUGCUCAGGGGAGGCGACGACGGCAAGGCUUGCAGUGUGCAGCGAUAGCAACGUGCUCAGGCGAGGCUGCGACGCGAGGCUCAGGCGAGGCUGCAAGGAAGACGGCGACCGGUCGACGGCGUUACAAGCCCUUCAGAUUUGGCCGGCGUUAGAGAUUUGAAGGUUGCGGCUGCUGGUGAGUGGUGAGGUACCGUGAGGCUUGACUCUUGAGAGUGUGUGAAACUGGAUGCGAUAUUGU